rnacentral:rRNA from 1 species
UAACACAUGCAAGUCGAACGAAAAUACCAAGCUUGCUUGGUUGAUUAGUGGCGAACGGGUGAGUAACACGUGAGUAACCUGCCCCUUACUUUCCUGGAUAACUGCUCGAAAGGGUAGCUAAUACGGGAUAUUCUGACCAUCCUGCAUGGGUUGGUUUGGAAAGGUUGUUUUUUCUGGUAAGGGAUGGGCUCGCGGCCUAUCAGCUUGUUGGUGGGGUGAUGGCCUACCAAGGCUUUGACGGGUAGCCGGCCUGAGAGGGUGGACGGUCACACUGGGACUAAGAUACGGCCCAGACUCCUACGGGAGGCAGCAGUGGGGAAUAUUGCACAAUGGGCGCGAGCCUGAUGCAGCGACGCCGCGUGAGGGAUGAAGGCCUUCGGGUUGUAAACCUCUUUCGUCAGGGAACAAGGCACUGCUUUGGUGGUGUUGAGGGUACCUGGAUAAGAAGCGCCGGCUAACUACGUGCCAGCAGCCGCGGUAAUACGUAGGGCGCAAGCGUUGUCCGGAAUUAUUGGGCGUAAAGAGCUCGUAGGCGGCUGGUCGCGUCUGUCGUGAAAACUUCCGGCUCAACCAGGGGGCUUGCGGUGGGUACGGGCCGGCUAGAGUGCGGUAGGGGUAACUGGAACUCCUGGUGUAGCGGUGGAAUGCGCAGAUAUCAGGAAGAACACCGAUGGCGAAGGCAGGUUACUGGGCCGUUACUGACGCUGAGGAGCGAAAGCGUGGGGAGCGAACAGGAUUAGAUACCCUGGUAGUCCACGCUGUAAACGUUGGGCACUAGGUGUGAGGCUCCUUUCCGGGGGUUUUGCGCCGUAGCUAACGCAUUAAGUGCC